UGACCGGUCGCCAAGUGGUAAGGCAGCGGAUUUUGAUUCCGCCAUUCGGAGGUUCGAUCCCUCCCCGGUCUGCCC
rnacentral:tRNA from 6 species